AUGAGAAGCACCUGGGGAUCUUAUAAAAUUGAGGAUUCUGUUUAAGUGUGGGUCCUAACAUUCUUCAUUUCUAUCAAGUGCCCAAGUGAUCUCAAA
rnacentral:pre_miRNA from 1 species